rnacentral:rRNA from 1 species
GAUGAACGCUGGCGGCGUGCUUAACACAUGCAAGUCGAACGAAGUGUUUCUUUCGGGAGGAACUUAGUGGCGGACGGGUGAGUAACGCGUGGGUAACCUGCCCUGUACAGGGGGACAACAGCUGGAAACGGCUGCUAAUACCGCAUAAGCCCUUAGCACUGCAUGGUGCAUAGGGAAAAGGAGCAAUCCGGUACAGGAUGGACCCGCGUCUGAUUAGCCAGUUGGCAGGGUAACGGCCUACCAAAGCGACGAUCAGUAGCCGAUCUGAGAGGAGGUACGGCAACAUUGGGACUGAGACACGGCCCAGACUCCUACGGGAGGCAGCAGUGGGGAAUAUUGCACAAUGGAGGAAACUCUGAUGCAGCGACGCCGCGUGAGUGAAGAAGUAUUUCGGUAUGUAAAGCUCUAUCAGCAGGAAAGAAAAUGACGGAACCUGACUAAGAAACACCGGCUACAUACGG